AGAGUUUGAUCAUGGCUCAGAUUGAACGCUGGCGGCAGGCCUAACACAUGCAAGUCGAACGGUAACAGGAAGCAGCUUGCUGCUUCGCUGACGAGUGGCGGACGGGUGAGUAAUGUCUGGGAAGCUGCCUGAUGGAGGGGGAUAACUACUGGAAACGGUAGCUAAUACCGCAUAAUGUCGCAAGACCAAAGAGGGGGACCUUCGGGCCUCUUGCCAUCGGAUGUGCCCAGAUGGGAUUAGCUUGUUGGUGGGGUAACGGCUCACCAAGGCGACGAUCCCUAGCUGGUCUGAGAGGAUGACCAGCCACACUGGAACUGAGACACGGUUCAGACUCCUACGGGAGGCAGCAGUGGGGAAUAUUGCACAAUGGGCGCAAGCCUGAUGCAGCCAUGCCGCGUGUAUGAAGAAGGCCUUCGGGUUGUAAAGUACUUUCAGCGGGGAGGAAGGGAGUAAAGUUAAUACCUUUGCUCAUUGACGUUACCCGCAGAAGAAGCACCGGCUAACUCCGUGCCAGCAGCCGCGGUAAUACGGAGGGUGCAAGCGUUAAUCGGAAUUACUGGGCGUAAAGCGCACGCAGGCGGUUUGUUAAGUCAGAUGUGAAAUCCCCGGGCUCAACCUGGGAACUGCAUCUGAUACUGGCAAGCUUGAGUCUCGUAGAGGGGGGUAGAAUUCCAGGUGUAGCGGUGAAAUGCGUAGAGAUCUGGAGGGAUACCGGUGGCGAAGGCGGCCCCCUGGACGAAGACUGACGCUCAGGUGCGAAAGCGUGGGGAGCAAACAGGAUUAGAUACCCUGGUAGUCCACGCCGUAAACGAUGUCGACUUGGAGGUUGUGCCCUUGAGGCGUGGCUUCCGGAGCUAACGCGUUAAGUCGACCGCCUGGGGAGUACGGCCGCAAGGUUAAAACUCAAAUGAAUUGACGGGGGCCCGCACAAGCGGUGGAGCAUGUGGUUUAAUUCGAUGCAACGCGAAGAACCUUACCUGGUCUUGACAUCCACGGAAGUUUUCAGAGAUGAGAAUGUGCCUUCGGGAACCGUGAGACAGGUGCUGCAUGGCUGUCGUCAGCUCGUGUUGUGAAAUGUUGGGUUAAGUCCCGCAACGAGCGCAACCCUUAUCCUUUGUUGCCAGCGGUCCGGCCGGGAACUCAAAGGAGACUGCCAGUGAUAAACUGGAGGAAGGUGGGGAUGACGUCAAGUCAUCAUGGCCCUUACGACCAGGGCUACACACGUGCUACAAUGGCGCAUACAAAGAGAAGCGACCUCGCGAGAGCAAGCGGACCUCAUAAAGUGCGUCGUAGUCCGGAUUGGAGUCUGCAACUCGACUCCAUGAAGUCGGAAUCGCUAGUAAUCGUGGAUCAGAAUGCCACGGUGAAUACGUUCCCGGGCCUUGUACACACCGCCCGUCACACCAUGGGAGUGGGUUGCAAAAGAAGUAGGUAGCUUAACCUUCGGGAGGGCGCUUACCACUUUGUGAUUCAUGACUGGGGUGAAGUCGAAACAAGGUAACCGUAGGGGAACCUGCGGUUG
rnacentral:rRNA from 1 species